rnacentral:rRNA from 1 species
AACCUGCCCCCUCCCCCGGGAUAGCCGCCCGAAAGGACGGGUAAUACCGGAUACCCCCGGGCGCCGCAUGGCGCCCGGGCUAAAGCCCCGACGGGAGGGGAUGGCUCCGCGGCCCAUCAGGUAGACGGCGGGGUGACGGCCCACCGUGCCGACAACGGGUAGCCGGGUUGAGAGACCGACCGGCCAGAUUGGGACUGAGACACGGCCCAGACUCCUACGGGAGGCAGCAGUGGGGAAUCUUGCGCAAUGGGGGGAACCCUGACGCAGCGACGCCGCGUGCGGGACGGAGGCCUUCGGGUCGUAAACCGCUUUCAGCAGGGA